rnacentral:rRNA from 1 species
UACGGGGGGGGCAAGCGUUGUUCGGAAUUACUGGGCGUAAAGGGCUCGUAGGCGGCCAACUAAGUCGGAUGUGAAAUCCCCAGGCUUAACCUGGGAACUGCAUCCGAUACUGGAUGGCUUGAAUCCGGGAGAGGGAUGCAGAAUUCCAGGUGUAGCGGUGAAAUGCGUAGAUAUCUGGAGGAAUACCGGUGGCGAUGGCGGCAUCCUGGACCGGCAUUGACGCUGAUGAGCGAAAGCUAGGGGAGCAAACGGG